rnacentral:rRNA from 1 species
UGGGCGUAGAGGGCGCGCGGGCGGUUUCUUAAGUCUGAUGUGAAAGCCCCCCCCUCAGGCGGGGAGGGUCAUUGGAAACUGGGGAACUUGAGUGCAUAAGAGGAGAGUGGAAUUCCACGUGUAGCGGUGAAAUGCGUAGAGAUGUGGAGGAACACCAGUGGCGAAUGCUACUCUCUGGUCUGUAACUGACGCUGAGGAGCGAAAGCGUGGGGAGCGAACAAGAUUAGAUACCCUGGUAGUCCACGCCGUAGACGAUGAGUGCUAAGUGUUAGGGGGUUUCCGCCCCUUAGUGCUGCAGCUAACGCAUUAAGCACUCCGCCUGGGGAGUACGGUCGCAAGACUGAAACUCAGAGGAAUUGACGGGGGCCC